UACGGGGGGAGCAAGCGUUGUUCGGAUUUACUGGGCGUAAAGGGCGCGUAGGCGGCCUUCUAAGUCAGACGUGAAAUCCCCCGGCUUAACCUGGGAACUGCGUCUGAUACUGGAGGGCUUGAGUGCGGGAGAGGGAUGUGGAAUUCCAGGUGUAGCGGUGAAAUGCGUAGAUAUCUGGAGGAACACCGGUGGCGAAAGCGGCUCACUGGAUCGAUACUGACGCUGAGGUGCGAAAGCUAGGGUAGCAAACGGGGAUUAAGAAA
rnacentral:rRNA from 1 species